GGAGUUAGCCGGUGCUUCUUCUGUGAGUGAUGUCCUUCCUGCCGGCUAUUAACCCGCAGGCCUUCUUCCUCACUGAAAGUGCUUUACAACCCGAAGGCCUUCUUCACACACGCGGCAUGGCUGGAUCAGGGUUGCCCCCAUUGUCCAAUAUUCCCCACUGCUGCCUCCCGUAGGAGUCUGGGCCGUGUCUCAGUCCCAGUGUGGCUGAUCAUCCUCUCAGACCAGCUACGGAUCGUCGCCUUGGUGAGCCGUUACCUCACCAACCAGCUAAUCCGACAUAGGCUCAUCCGAUAGCGCGAGGCCCGAAGGUCCCCCGCUUUCCCCCGUAGGGCGUAUGCGGUAUUAGCCUGGGUUUCCCCAGGUUAUCCCCCACUACCGGGCAGAUUCCUAUGCAUUACUCACCCGUCCGCCGCUCGCCACCAGGGAGCAAGCUCCCCGUGCUGCCGCUCGACUUGCAUGUGUUAGGCCUGCCGCCAGCGUUCAAUCUGAGCCAGUGAUACAACUCUCGA
rnacentral:rRNA from 1 species